ACUUAGUGGCGGACGGGUGAGUAACGCGUGGGUAACCUGCCCUGUACAGGGGGACAACAGCUGGAAACGGCUGCUAAUACCGCAUAAGCCCUUAGCACUGCAUGGUGCAUAGGGAAAAGGAGUAAUCCGGUACAGGAUGGACCCGCGUCUGAUUAGCCAGUUGGCAGGGUAACGGCCUACCAAAGCGACGAUCAGUAGCCGAUCUGAGAGGAUGUACGGCCACAUUGGGACUGAGACACGGCCCAGACUCCUACGGGAGGCAGCAGUGGGGAAUAUUGCACAAUGGAGGAAACUCUGAUGCAGCGACGCCGCGUGAGUGAAGAAGUAUUUCGGUAUGUAAAGCUCUAUCAGCAGGGAAGAAAAUGACGGUACCUGACUAAGAAGCACCGGCUAAAUACGUGCCAGCAGCCGCGGUAAUACGUAUGGUGCAAGCGUUAUCCGGAUUUACUGGGUGUAAAGGGAGCGUAGGUGGCAAGGCAAGCCAGAAGUGAAAACCCGGGGCUCAACCGCGGGAUUGCUUUUGGAACUGUCAUGCUAGAGUGCAGGAGGGGUGAGCGGAAUUCCUAGUGUAGCGGUGAAAUGCGUAGAUAUUAGGAGGAACACCGGAGGCGAAGGCGGCUCACUGAACUGUAACUGACACUGAGGC
rnacentral:rRNA from 1 species